GAAAAUGAGCGAGAGGAGUGUUCUGUGCAAGUACAGCCAAAACAACAAAAAAGGAAACCAAAAGGAAACAGAAAAGAAUCAGAAGAGAAAACAUGCCAAGGAAAGAAAAGGAAGAAGAAUAUAAAAGAAAUUACCAGAAAAAUUUACUCUUCAUAUAUUUAUUUUAUUGAAACUAAAAUUUAUUACCAAAAACAUAGAUUAUACUUAGC